rnacentral:lncRNA from 1 species
UCUGUUUGUAGCAGCAGGAUGGAUCAUGAGGAUGGAUCAUGGUUCCUGAGGAUGAGGAGGAUCUUCACAGGGGGGGCAGACCUGACCCUGAUCGGGGUCGACGUGGGGUCUCAUGGCGUGGUCUCAUGGCGUGGUCUCACGGUGGGCAUCACGCCGACAGAGAAGUGCGUCUGUGUGUGAAAAACGUGCCGAAGGAGGACGAGCCGUGACAGCGAGGAAACUGCGAGUGUGUCAUCUGUGUGCAGACGGACGGACGGAGCGGCGGUGGUGGGAGGUCUGUGGGUUCAGGGUGGAGGUGACGGUUUCUGUUUUAGAAACCACCACAGAGGAAGAAGAAGAUGUGAGCACUUCCUGUGAAGGCGAUGUGUCUCUGUUCGUCUGCAGCUUCACUUUAUUUAGAACAGGUGGAACUCCUCCACGCUGCUUUCCACCACACAGUUCCAGCUCCUUCAGAUGUUCUCUCCAUCUUUGGUCACAGACAGGAACACUCAGGUUUGAGUUUGAACUUCAGCAGACAUCUCAGGUUCUUCAGCUGUGGACCCUCUCUGACUGUGAAGGUCUUUUGCUUUCUGAACUUUGACCUUUAACAGCAUGUUGGUCAGAUGUCCUCAUGGUCUCCUCUGCAGACGAUCUCUGUCAAACAAUCAGGAGUGCUCUCCCUGCAUCUCCACAGGUCCUCCAAAGGUCUCCAGUCAGAUCUGAGCGUAGUCACAGACCUGCUAGGAGAGAGGACUGAGGGGAGAGGAGAUGGACACGCCCCCAUAUCAAGUACCGCUCACUGAUGGAGAGUAAAGGUGCGUUCCAGUUGUACUUGGAAGUUGGAAAUUCAUCUGGAACGUCCGCCUGAAGUCGGAUUUCUCACAAGAACCCGCAGAUUCAUGUCCAAUCUCACGAUAACGAGUUGUCUCUCUAAAGACAGACACAUAGACAUAUAAGCAGUAGAUUGUGUCCUUCCAGAGGAGGAAAUCUACUUCUAGACUUCUAGAAUCAGCAUCUCCUCAUCCAUGGUGUCAUCGGGGUGAAAUGACGUCUAAAAACCUUUCACUUGUUCGUCUCCGCCCGUUUGCAUGGUGUGAAAUACGAUCCUCCUGAAACACGGAGUGUUUUAUUUUGAAAAGAAGCCGGAUGUUUUAUUUUGUGUCUGUGCCCGACUUCCUUUCCAGCACGGGUUAAUCUGUGCUGAAUUUAUCCGCCAUGCUCCGGCGUCCAGAAAAAAUAGAACUCUUGUGAUCAGCUGAGGAGUCCGGCGAUCCGCAGAGGAACGGAAAGAAGUCGGUGUAAAUUGACACGUUAACUUGAAUGGUUACGAUCAGCUACGAUCGGAGGAUACGACUUCAGUUGGCGACUGAAGCUCUGAGGAUUUUCAGGACGCUAAGACAAACAAACGACUUAAAUAUAAUCAUGUAAGUUUUUCUCACCUGCUCAGUCAGAGACUCGUUUGUGUUUUAGUUAUAAUUAUUAUUUAGUCUGACUCUGUUAUGGUCCUGGUUAUUCAUGGACAAAUUUAGAUAAACUGUAUAAAUUCUCAUUCUGCUGUCAGAUAGAGAGAAAAACCUGUAAAGAUCAUCAAUAAUCGGGUUUGAAAUAUCAAUCAUUUCAUCACAACAACCUGUGUGUGUGUGUGUGUGUGUGUGUGUGUGAGCAAUAAAAACAUACAUCUGAUAAGAAGGGGGAGGAGGGGGGAGUCACAAUAGUGGUUUUCCUGCAGGGGGCGGGGCUCCAACAGGCAGAGGAGACAUGACCAUAUAAGGACAGAGGAGGAGGAAGUGGGGAUUUCUCUUCAGAGUCAUGUGACUUCCAGUUACAGGAUGCUCUCAGCCUGAUACACACACACACACACACACACACACACACACACACACACACUCAGCUGUUUGUUUUUGUUUUAUUUAAUCGUUUUGUUUCCUGCUCCUUUAAAGUUUGUGAUUUUCUUUCUUAGGUUUUUAUUUUCCUCCUUGUUUUCUUCUCCUUCUUCUCUCUGUUCCCUCAGAUCUGCAGAGAUGUUCAGUGUUUACGUUUAAUCCUGUGACCUCUGACCUCUGAGACGCUCUGAUGAAACGCAGAAACAUCACGAGCGAGAAAACGAAACUGAGACUCAGCUGACUCAUCAUCCAGACCGCCGAUCCGUCCGUCUUUAACCUCCAUGUCCUGCAGCUGCUGCUCCUUCUUAGAAAGAGCCGGACACACACACACACACACACACACACACACACACACACACACACACACUCUCAGGGUUCCUAGAAGGUGUGUGUGUGUGUGUGUGUGUGUGUGUGUAUUAGUGUGUGUCUGCAGAGCUUCAGCUGCUCUCAGUUUACUGUUUCAGUCUCGUCUAAAUAAACUUUAAUCUGCUGCCUGUUAAACCGUCUCUGUAAACCCUGAUCCUGGACCAGCAGGGGGUCCAAGACCUGUAGCCCAGUGGUUCUCAACUGGUGGGUCCCGACCCAAAAGUGGGUCACAGACAUGUUCUGGUUGGGUCACGAACAGCUGAUCAAAACAGUAAAUAUUUCAUGCACAUCUGAUGUUUUACAUGUCUUUUAUUUUGAAAGGCCAGUGUUAUACAUGUCUUUUAUUUUGAAAGGCCUGUGUUUUACAUGUCUUUUAUUUUGAAAGGCCUGUGUUAUACAUGUCUUUUAUUUUGAAAGGCCUGUGUUUGACAUGUCUUUUAUUUUGAAAGGCCAGUGUUUGACAUGUCUUUUAUUUUGAAAGGCCUGUGUUAUACAUGUCUUUUAUUUUGAAAGGCCCGUGUUUGACAUGUCUUUUAUUUUGAAAGGCCAGUGUUUGACAUGUCGUUUAUUUUGAAAGGCCUGUGUUUGACAUGUCUUUUAUUUUGAAAGGCCUGUGUUUGACGUGUCUUUUAUUUUGAAAGGCCUGUGUUUGACAUGUCUUUUAUUUUGAAAGGCCUGUGUUUGACAUGUCUUUUAUUUUGAAAGGCCUGUGUUUGACAUGUCUUUUAUUUUGAAAGGCCAGUGUUUUACAUGUCUUUUAUUUUGAAAGGCCUGUGUUUGACAUGUCGUUUAUUUUGAAAGGCCUGUGUUUUACAUGUCUUUUAUUUUGAAAGGCCUGUGUUUGACAUGUCUUUUAUUUUGAAAGGCCUGUGUUUGACAUGUCGUUUAUUUUGAAAGGCCAGUGUUAUACAUGUCGUUUAUUUUGAAAGGCCUGUGUUUGACAUGUCUUUUAUUUUGAAAGGCCUGUGUUUGACAUGUCGUUUAUUUUGAAAGGCCAGUGUUUGACAUGUCGUUUAUUUUGAAAGGCCUGUGUAAUGUCGUGCUCCUCCUCAGGUUCUUAUUUUGAAAGGCCUGUGUUUGACAUGUCUUUUAUUUUGAAAGGCCUGUGUUUGACAUGUCUUUUAUUUUGAAAGGCCUGUGUUUGACAUGUCUUUUAUUUUGAAAGGCCAGUGUUUUACAUGUCUUUUAUUUUGAAAGGCCUGUGUUUGACAUGUCGUUUAUUUUGAAAGGCCUGUGUUUUACAUGUCUUUUAUUUUGAAAGGCCUGUGUUUGACAUGUCUUUUAUUUUGAAAGGCCUGUGUUUGACAUGUCGUUUAUUUUGAAAGGCCAGUGUUAUACAUGUCGUUUAUUUUGAAAGGCCUGUGUUUGACAUGUCUUUUAUUUUGAAAGGCCUGUGUUUGACAUGUCGUUUAUUUUGAAAGGCCUGUGUUUGACAUGUCUUUUAUUUUGAAAGGCCUGUGUAAUGUCGUGCUCCUCCUCAGGUUCUUAUUUUGAAAGGCCUGUGUUUGACAUGUCUUUUAUUUUGAAAGGCCUGUGUUUGACAUGUCUUUUAUUUUGAAAGGCCUGUGUUUGACAUGUCUUUUAUUUUGAAAGGCCAGUGUUUUACAUGUCUUUUAUUUUGAAAGGGCUGUGUUUAACAUGUCGUUUAUUUUGAAAGGCCUGUGUUUGACAUGUCUUUUAUUUUGAAAGGCCUGUGUUUGACAUGUCUUUUAUUUUGAAAGGCCUGUGUUUGACAUGUCUUUUAUUUUGAAAGGCCUGUGUAAUGUCGUGCUCCUCCUCAGGUUUUUAUUUUGAAAGGCCUGUGUAAUGUCGUGCUCCUCCUCAGGUUCUUAUUUUGAAAGGCCUAAUUUCAGUAAAAUUACAUUUUCUUUGAUUUGAUAUUUUCUGUGUUUGUAACGUCAGUCGUCGUCGUCCUCUAAAAUACACUUUACUCAAUAAAACGGUGUAUUUAUGUCGAGGAUUAGAGUCUUUAAAGUUUAUUUUUAAUAUAAAGAAUAAAUGUUCGUGGUUUGAAUUCUAUGAGAGUGGGUCAGGACUGAAGGAUCAUGGGAAAAUGAGGCUCCCAGAGUCCCAGAGUGAGAACCGCGAGAUCUCCAGAGGGACCAAACGGUCGGUAAGUUUCCUGCAGAGCUCUUACUCAGAGAAACCGAAGCUGCUCUUUGAAUAUUUCAGACGUGUAAAUUCAUCUCUGUUCGCUCUCAUAAGCUCCGCCCACAAUAACUCUCGCCAACAGCGUCAGUGUCGAUGAUGAUGUUAAAGAAAGAUCCAGUUUCUCUCUCUGCUGUCAGACCAGCUGCAUGACUCCUGCAUCACCUCCUCCUCCUCUUCCUCCUCUGUCUCCUCUGUGUCCUUACUUACUCCUCUCCCUCCUCCUCCUCCUCUUCCUCCUCCUCUGUCUCCUCUGUGUCCUUACUUACUCCUCUCCCUCCUCCUCUGUCUCCUCCUCCUCCUGUCUCCUCUGUGUCCUUACUUAGUCCUCCUCCUCCUCCUCUUCCUCCUCCUGUCUCCUCUGUGUCCUUACUUACUCUUCCUCCUCCUCCUCUUCCUCCUCCUCCUCUGUCUCCUCUGUGUCCUUACUUACUCCUCUCCCUCCUCCUCUGUCUCCUCCUCCUCCUGUCUCCUCUGUGUCCUUACUUACUCCUCUCCCUCCUCCUCCUCCUCUUCCUCCUCCUCUGUCUCCUCUGUGUCCUUACUUACUCCUCUCCCUCCUCCUCUGUCUCCUCCUCCUCCUGUCUCCUCUGUGUCCUUACUUAGUCCUCCUCCUCCUCCUCU